rnacentral:lncRNA from 1 species
AGAAAUUUAUGAGAUUAAUUGGAUUUAUUGUGGAUCGCGUUCAAUAUAAGUAAUGAACUGCCUUUUCUAGACUCUUCAUUUAUAUAAUAUUAUUUUUGCAUCGAAUAAAUUGUUAAUGAAUUUAUAUGUGAUUUAUAAAUUUUACGAGAUGAUGAUUUGAAUGAAAGAUAGAUAGAUGAAUUAGAACAAUAUUUUUCGGAUAUAUUUACUGUUCUUGUGUCGUAUAUGCAUAUUUAGAUCGGAUUAUAAUAUAUUUAUUAUGUUACAAAAGAAUUUUGAUGUGCAUCAGAUUUGAAACUCUCAGCCUGACUAUGUUCUGGACCCUGCUAAUUAGGGGUUCUGCAUUGACAAUUUGGACUCCACCACAGGGUAUAAGUGUGGUAUUCUAGCCCACUCCGCAGGAUAUAAGUACGGUAUUCUGGCCCACUCCCCAGGAUAUAAGUACGGUAUUCUGGCCCACUCCGUAGGGUAUAAGUGCGGUUCUGUUUCUGGCCUAGCCACAAGGUAUAAGUGUGGUCAUAGUUAAAUGUUGUUGAGAUGAAUGUGAUUUGUUUCGAAUCAGAUUUAUGAGAUAAAUGUAAUUUGUUUCGA